AGCUGCUGACUGUGGGCUCUAAACUGGGAUGUGGAACAGGCUACCAGGAAGGCAUUAAACAGUGGACUUUACACCGUGAGAAGAUGAUACCGUUGCCUAGCGCUUAAGGGUAAGAAAGAACUCUCCCUGCCUGAUGGUCUUCAAGCUGGACAUUGCUUUGCUUUCGUCUUUUCCUCCCUGCCUUCUGACUUGAACUGGAACAUUGACUUUUCUUGGGUUUUUAGCCUGCUGACCUUUGGACUGGAGCUAUACCAUUGUUUCUCCUCGGUCUCCAACUUGCCAAUUGUAAAUCUUGGAAUUUUUAGCCUUCAUAAUUUCACAAGCCAAUUCCUCAACCAGGCAGGAAGGACCAGUCUCUUCCUUUCUCUCUCUCUUUACCAGAUGAAUCAAGUUGAAAGAGUGAAACCAUUUUGAACAAUAAAUAGACCUACAC
ensembl:lncRNA